GGAGAUCCCAUAGCUCAGUCUUAAGAGCAUAUGCUUUGCAUGCAGAAGGUACCAGGUUCAAUCCCCAGCAUCUCCA
rnacentral:tRNA from 1 species